rnacentral:rRNA from 1 species
UACGGAGGAUGCGAGCGUUAUCCGGAUUUAUUGGGUUUAAAGGGAGCGUAGGUGGGAUAUUAAGUCAGCUGUGAAAGUUUGGGGCUCAACCUUAAAAUUGCAGUUGAUACUGGUUUCCUUGAGUACGGUACAGGUGGGCGGAAUUCGUGGUGUAGCGGUGAAAUGCUUAGAUAUCACGAAGAACUCCGAUCGCGAAGGCAGGUCACAGGGCCGGAACUGACACUGAUGCUCGAAAGUGCGGGUAUCAAACAGGAUUAGAUACCCUGGUAGUCCGCACAGUAAACGAUGAAUACUCGCUGUUUGCGAUACACUGUAAGCGGCCAAGCGAAAGCGUUAAGUAUUCCACCUGGGGAGUACGCCGGCAACGGUGAAACUUAAAGGAAUUGACGGGG